AGUUAACUCUGCCAGGCUCGACGGACCGUUUGUUUUCACCGAGAGAGAGAGAGAGGGGAAAAUCAAGAAAGAUGCAAGUCGUGCUCAGAUGGCCGGUAUAUGCUGAGUCUGCGCUACCUCCGCAUGGGCGAUCCGGAGACGUGAAUGUCAUCUAGCUGUAAACGGUUCUAGCCUUUUGUUUCCGUCUUGACUUAACGCACAUGAAGAUAACAGCGUGCUGCUACCCCUUUUCAGUUACUGCACAUUUGGGAAUCGGAUUUAGAAACAAAGUGGAAUAAGAGAAGGAAUGGCAGGUCUACUCCCUAAGAAGUACUUUUCCCCCUGUGGAGCAGUCCGGCGUUGCUCCGUCAAGGGCAGCGCUGAGCCGCAUGCAACAGAAAAGUCUGAUUGCAGAGUCCGUAAGCUGCUACAUUUAGUAGUUGUCUGCACGUUUACAGCCUUGUUUGAAAAAUGGGAAUAUGCUUCUAUGAAGAUAACACCGUGGACAGUUUUAUUUUUGGACAGCGACCGUAUGACCAUUCAUGUGUAAGACUUUGAACUCUUUCUUUGCAUGUGUUCACUCCCUCACAUACAAAACAGAA